AGCGAACGCUGGCGGCAGGCCUAACACAUGCAAGUCGAACGGAUCCUUCGGGAUUAGUGGCGGACGGGUGAGAAACACGUGGGAACGUGCCCUUUGGUUCGGAACAACUCAGGGAAACUUGAGCUAAUACCGGAUGUGCCCUUCGGGGGAAAGAUUUAUCGCCAUUGGAGCGGCCCGCGUCUGAUUAGCUAGUUGGUGAGGUAAAGGCUCACCAAGGCGACGAUCAGUAGCUGGUCUGAGAGGAUGAUCAGCCACACUGGGACUGAGACACGGCCCAGACUCCUACGGGAGGCAGCAGUGGGGAAUCUUGCGCAAUGGGCGAAAGCCUGACGCAGCCAUGCCGCGUGAAUGAUGAAGGUCUUAGGAUUGUAAAAUUCUUUCACCGGGGACGAUAAUGACGGUACCCGGAGAAGAAGCUCCGGCUAACUCCGUGCCAGCCGCCGCGGUAA
rnacentral:rRNA from 1 species